rnacentral:rRNA from 1 species
UACAGAGACUGCAAGCGUUAUUCGGAUUCACUGGGCGUAAAGGGUGCGCAGGCGGCCGUGUGUGUCAGGUGUGAAAGCCCGGGGCUUAACCCCGGAAUUGCGCCUGAAACUACAUGGCUAGAGCAUUGGAGAGGGAAGCGGAAUUCACGGUGUAGCAGUGAAAUGCGUAGAUAUCGUGAGGAACACCAGAGGCGAAGGCGGCUUCCUGGACAAUUGCUGACGCUCAGGCACGAAAGCGUGGGGAGCAAACGGG